GCCGGCGUAGUGCAGUGGUUAGCACGUUUCGUUGUGGCAGGAACCCCGUCGCGAUUUAGAAAAAGAAAGGAGAUUUGGAAGUAUAGAAGACAAGAUUUUGGAGCGAGUAGGGGCGCAGUCAAGCUGCACAAAUCCGAAGAGACCUCAGUUCGAAUCUGAGCGCUGGCA
rfam:Exophiala dermatitidis NIH/TT8656 unplaced genomic scaffold supercont1.5, whole genome shotgun sequence.